GGCAGAAAUACACACAACAUUGCAAAACAUGACCACUUAUUACAAGAAUUAUUCUUUUGCACACAAAUUUGUAAUCUUUGUGCAAGAUUCACAACAUAUACUACACUAAUUAUACAGCACUUAUCUAAGAAAAAUGUAGUAGAGACAACAAGAAUUGUGUACGAUUCGCGAAAACGAUGGUAAAGAGAGGCAAGGCCCUUUUAAACGAACCUCGAAUAGUCUUAACAACUCAUCAUGAUCACUCACAUUCAUGUUUAUUCAAUCAACGUCGGGCAGUAGAACUGCAGGUGUUCGUUUACACUGAUUCUACGACAACAAUAAGAAACACAGAAGUGGUUCGGGGCAGUACCGUUAUUAGCUGAGCACUGUAGAGGAGGAGAAGGAAGUCUAGAACUUGACAAACUCUUCACUUCUGCCAAAACACAGUAAAACAACCACACCACACUUUUUUUUGGAUGUUCAAGAAAGACCGAUUACCUUUCCAGUAGAUGUGUCGAUGUCAAUCUCGUAGAAACAAGGCCUCGUAGGCAAACCAGGCAUUGUGCUCAUUGUUCCAACAAGAGGAUAAAUGAAUCCUGCGCCAAUGCUUGCUCUAACGUCCCUGAUGGGCAGGAUGAAUCCACUAGGAGCGCCCUUCUUCCCGGCAUCAUGUGAAAAUGAAUAUUGUGUUUUCGCCAUGCAAAUUGGCAGAUUUGUAAAUCCUUGUUUGGUAUACAUCUCAAUCUGUUUCUCAGCCUCUUCAGAGUACUCUACUCCAUCAGCACCAUAUGAUUUUGCUAUUGCCUCUAUUUUAUCUUUGAUACCUAUAUCCAGCGGGUACAGGAAUUUUAGUGACUGUUUUGCAUUCUCACAGGCCUUCUGAACUGCGAUUCCGAGGUCCACCGCUCCUUUGCCACCAUGGGCAUGAUGAGUACAAAUUACUGAAUCAAAUGCUCCUGCAGCUAAUGCAGCAUUUUUAACUGCAUUUAGUUCUGCUUCAGUAUCAGUUGAGAAUGCAUUGACGGCAACCACAACAUUUACACCAUAAGCUUUUGUAUUUGAAAUAUGCCUAGCAAGAUUCACACAACCAGCUUCCACUAGUCCGAGAUUCUCAGUUACAUAGGCCUUGUCGAGAGGCUUUCCAGCUGUGACUUGAGGUCCUCCACCAUGCAUUUUAAGGGCUCUUACUGUGGCCACAAUAAUAGCGCACUGUGGUUUCAAGCCACUAUAUCGACAUUUGAUGUUCAUAAACUUCUCUGUCCCAAUAUCAGAACCAAAGCCAGCCUCUGUGACCACAAAGCCACCAGGUCCUACGAGCUUUAAUGCAAUCUUGUCAGCAACAAUAGAUGAAUUUCCAUGAGCAAUAUUUGCAAACGGACCGGCAUGAACAAGAACAGGGGUGCCCUCAAGAGUCUGCAUAAGAGUAGGAUUAAUGGCAUCUUUCAUCAAAACAGUCAAAGCGCCUCCAACCCCAAGAUCAUCAGCUGUAACUGGAUCACCGGCCUUGCUAUUCCCGACUACCAUUUUCCCCAGCCUCUCUCGCAUAUCAGCUAGUGAUGUCGUGAGGGCUAGAACUGCCAUUAUUUCACUAGCAACUGAAAUGUCAAAUGCUGUCUCCCGGACCAUCCCCUUCUCUUCAGGUCCCUGACCGAUGGUAAUUUUUCUCAAAAACCUAUCAUUGACAUCCAUGACUCUUCUCCAUGUGACGGAAGCAGGAUCUAUAUCUAGCCUAGCAAAUUUACUGCUCUCUUCAGGAGUAAGGUCUUCGGGGGCCGUCUUGUCAAUACCAAGUUUCUUCAAACGCCUAAACAUAAUGUCACAGAACUUCCGUUUACCUUCUUUAUUUGGUGGGCAUAACCUGUUAAAGAGAGCCUUGUCAGACUGCGUAGAUUCAUGGAAGAUUCGUGUAUCAAUCGCAGCAGCCAGAAGGUUAUUUGCUGCUGUUAUUGCAUGAAUAUCUCCAGUUAGGUGGAGAUUGAACUCAUCCAUUGGUAUAACUUGACUGUAACCACCUCCUGCAGCACCACCCUUGAUUCCGAAUGUUGGUCCUUGUGAUGGUUGGCGGACACAUGUCACAACCUUUUUAUCAAGGAAAGCUCCCAAAGCCUGGCAAAGACCAACUGUGGUAGUAGACUUCCCCUCUCCAAGAGGGGUUGGAGUUAUUCCUCCAACCACCACAUAAUACCCAUCCUCACUUCCUCCAACCUCAUCAAGCACGGAUAAGAGCACCUUGGCUUUAUACUUCCCAUACAAAUCAUAAUGCUGAGAGCUAAGAUUGAGUUCUUGAGCAAUCUCAGAAAUAUGAAGAGGUUCAACAGAGUUAGCAAUAUCUAUAUCUGCUGGAACAGGAGAAACAACUUCAAGUUUCCUUGUUGUCUUUCCCAUGAUUUCUUAUACACCCCUUAUCUAAAAACUUCAAAAUCUUGAUUUUUCCUUCAAUGGGUGUCUCCAAGAUUGGAUUUUUAGGUUCAAAAUGAAGAAAAAAAGAGUCCAAAGUCAAUUAUUGGCAAUGGGGUAUGUGAGAAAAAGCUAAAAAAAAAAAGUUGUUGGCUUUGCUGAAGAGAUGUUGACGCUUUGGCUUAGAUUAAUCUUAAUUUGAGGCCUUUCCUGAAAAGAAUUCUAUCUAAUGUGUGAUGGAUGCAUCG
rnacentral:misc_RNA from 1 species